ACGGAAGGCAGCAGUGGGGAAUAUUGCACAAUGGGGGAAACCCUGAUGCAGCGACGCCGCGUGAGUGAAGAAGUAUUUCGGUAUGUAAAGCUCUAUCAGCAGGGAAGAAAAUGACGGUACCUGACUAAGAAGCCCCGGCUAACUACGUGCCAGCAGCCGCGGUAAUACGUAGGGGGCAAGCGUUAUCCGGAUUUACUGGGUGUAAAGGGCGUGUAGGCGGGACAUCAAGUCAGAUGUGAAAGCACGAGGCUCAACUUCGUGUCUGCAUUUGAAACUGACGUUCUUGAGUGUUGGAGAGGCUAACGGAACUCCUAGUGUAGCGGUGAAAUGCGUAGAUAUUAGGAGGAACACCAGUGGCGAAGGCGGCUUACUGGACUGUAACUGACGUUGAGGCUCGAAGGCGUGGGGAGCAAACAGGAUUAGAUACCCUGGUA
rnacentral:rRNA from 1 species